CGCGAUACAGGGUGACAGCCCCGUACACAAAAGCGUAUGUGCUGUGAGCUCGAUGAGUAGGGCGGGACACGUGGUAUCCUGUCUGAAUAUGGGGGGACCAUCCUCCAAGGCUAAAUACUCCUGACUGACCGAUAGUGAACCAGUACCGUGAGGGAAAGGCGAAAAGAACCCCGGCGAGGGGAGUGAAAAAGAACCUGAAACCGUGUACGUACAAGCAGUGGGAGCCCCACCACUAAGCCAGUGGUGAACUCCACAUACGCAUCCUUUGCUGAGGAUACGGUUAACGGAGCGAAAGCGACGUUCAACCGCAAAAGAAGCAGAGGGGGCUUAGUGGUGGGGUGACUGCGUACCUUUUGUAUAAUGGGUCAGCGACUUAUAUUCUGUAGCAAGGUUAACCGAAUAGGGGAGCCGGAGGGAAACCGAGUCUUAACCGGGCGUUAAGUUGCAGGGUAUAGACCCGAAACCCGGUGAUCUAGCCAUGGGCAGGUUGAAGGUUGGGUAACACUAACUGGAGGACCGAACCGACUAAUGUUGAAAAAUUAGCGGAUGACCUGUGGCUGGGGGUGAAAGGCCAAUCAAACCGGGAGAUAGCUGGUUCUCCCCGAAAGCUAUUUAGGUAGCGCCUCGUGAAUUCAUCUCCGGGGGUAGAGCACUGUUUCGGCUAGGGGGCCAUCCCGGCUUACCAACCCGAUGCAAACUGCGAAUACCGGAGAAUGUUAUCACGGGAGACACACGGCGGGUGCUAACGUCCGUCGUGAAGAGGGAAACAACCCAGACCGCCAGCUAAGGUCCCAAAGUCAUGGUUAAGUGGGAAACGAUGUGGGAAGGCCCAGACAGCCAGGAUGUUGGCUUAGAAGCAGCCAUCAUUUAAAGAAAGCGUAAUAGCUCACUGGUCGAGUCGGCCUGCGCGGAAGAUGUAACGGGGCUAAACCAU
rnacentral:rRNA from 1 species